rnacentral:tRNA from 1 species
GCCCUUGUAGCACAAUGGCAGUGCAGUUGCCUUGUAAGCAUCAGAUCGCGGUUCGAAUCCGCGCGGGGGCACCA